UGGACCUGCAGGGAGGAAAAGGGACGCACAGUUCAGUCAACUGAAACCGUAACACAUUUGUGACCAGUAAAAAGACAUGUUCCGUGUCAAAGCAGAGAUCUUUCUUCCCCCAUAUCCUUUGGGUCAUCUGGGUCAUCAUUCAGAUUUGGCCAGAUGCCUAUAUUUAUGAGUGUAAGUCACUCAAUGAAGCAAUAAAAUUAGAAAAGAUUUAUAAUUUGUAGACAAAUUUACUAAGUGAUUGGUGUUGGGUUUAGUCUAGCAGAAUUAAAGGGCAGAAAAAACAAAAAAAGAUGGCAAAAAGGUGGUAGUAGAAAGAAAAUGUUUGUUUGUUUAAAUGUGUUUUAAAACAGUGCAAGUUGGGGUUUUUUGGGUUGUUUUCCCUUUUCUCACGCUAUCUCAAAACCUUACCGCUUGGUGGCGCUAGUGCACAGCGACCCUUUUUCCAAUCUCCAAUGAAACUCACGAAGAAGAAAGAUGCUUCCGCUGCUGUUGCUGCUGCUAAGCCGCUUAGCGUGAGAAACUGCAUUUUCAUACGGAAAAAGUGAUGAAUAUGAACUUAUAACAAAACCUGCGUCGAUACUUUUGCUCUUUAUUAGCCAACCUAUUGGAAAUUUGAUUUUUGGAGACUUUUACAGAUGACUGUUGGAGCUACCUCGGUAGCUAGCCUCGCUAGCUCGCCUCGUUAAACCUCGUUAGCUUCCCUCGCCAGCUAGCUUGGCUAGCCUUGUUAUUGGUUCCCUCAAAUUUCAUGUCGUUCUGCUUUCAACUGAAGGUUGUGACUCGGAGCCACCAUACUGUUGUCCCCAUCGUGUAGCAUUGAGGACGGGUUCUUUUGCUUAAGUUUUAAUUAGCAUCUAUAUUAGCACAUUGUUGUUGAAUCUAAGUAUUUAUCUGAACGAUUUAAUUUCAAGCUUUUAUAGAGAUUUGUGUGAGAUCUCAUGUUUCUCUUAUUGUUUGUUUAGAAAAGGUUUUGCAAUCUACAGAAAUGGGAGUGAAAUUGCUGCAAAAGAUUAUAGCAAAUAUGAGCAAUUUCACUGUUUCACGGCUGCCUGCGUGAGAGAUCCAGAAAAGUCAGUUUCACAGAGUCGACUUUCAACCGACCAAAGCAACCAGAACCAUGAAACGGCGACGUCUCCCCGGCCCCGAUUUUCACAUCAGCAAACGGUGCACGGCAGGAGAAAGAAGAAGAAUUCGAUACGGAGGAGGAAUCACGGCAGUAGAAGAACGAAGAGACGAGGAUAUCUCUGGAGUUGGCAGCAGCAUGGCAGUGGCAGUGUGGGAAGCAAUGUGGAAGAGAAGAGAAGAGCUCUACAUGAAGUUGUUGAUGUAGUGAUUUGUUUGCUGAUGUUUGUGCUCGAUCCUUCCUCUGGGAAGAAGAGGUGAAGGUCGUGGUCUUGCGUUUCAGUUUUCAUGUAGCAAUGGUUUUUGGAGUCCAAGUUUGAACGGCCUCCUAAAGAAGCAGCGUGUUAGCAGCAGCAGCAGCAUUUAGAAGAAAGAAGCGACGGAAUGGAUGUGCAAGUAUAGAAAGCAAUUGAGAAUGUCUAAGUAAGUAUGAUUGAUAGAAAUGACGUGAUGAGGACAGAUGCAGUGUUGUGUUGGACUUAUUUUCUCUGAACAGUUGAUUGUUUUCAGGGAAGAGACAAAUGCUCCUCUUUUGUGUCAUAUUUAUGGGAGGGUGGCCUCCAUUCUUUGUUGAUGUAAUGUUUGAAAGUGUUUUUUGCAAAGUGUUUUGUAGUUAUAUGCAGAGUGUAAGCACAUGUUACUUGCCUUCUCAGUAAUGUAAUGAAUGUGUUUAGUUGAUUGAUGCUCAUGUGAUGUAAUGCAUUUCCAUGGAAUGUUUGACAAUCUCCCUUCUGUUGAUGUAACAGAAGUACUUUUGUUAGUGUGUCAAGCAUCUUGAUGUGUUUGUGGUUUUGGAGUUGUAUCUAUUGAUAUUGCCAAGCCAUGUUUGCAUGUCAUGAACUUGUGCAAGAUGUGGUGAAAGUACUUUAGUGUUUCAGGAUUUGUAUGGAGUUGGCAGCAGAUUGAGCAGCAUGGUUGAUGCAUUUGCUAUGGCAGUAUUGUGGAAGAGAAGAGGAUGCCAAGUCUUUAGUCUUUAGUCUUAGUCUUUAGUCUUUAGUCUUUAGUCUUUAGUCUUUAGUCUUUAGUCUUUAGUCUUUAGUCUUUAGUCUUUAGUCUUUAGUCUUUAGUCUUUAGUCUUUAGUCUUUAGUCUUUAGUCUUUAGUUUAGUCUUUAGUCUUUAGUCUUUAGUCUUUAGUCAACCGGU